rnacentral:rRNA from 1 species
ACAGGGGGCACCCUGACCGCAAUGCCGCGUGAGUGAAGAAGGCCUUCGGGUUGUAAAGCUCUUUUGUCAGGGAAGAAACACCGGCUCUAACACAGUCCGGGAAUGACGGUACCUGAAGAAUAAGCACCGGCUAACUACGUGCCAGCAGCCGCGGUAAUACGUAGGGUGCAAGCGUUAAUCGGAAUUACCGGGCGUAAAGCGUGCGCAGGCGGUUAUACAAGACAGGCGUGAAAUCCCCGGGCUUAACCUGGGAAUGGCGCCUGUGACUGUAUAGCUAGAGUGUGUCAGAGGGGGGUAGAAUUCCACGUGUAGCAGUGAAAUGCGUAGAUAUGUGGAGGAAUACCAAUGGCGAAGGCAGCCCCCUGGGAUAACACUGACGCUCAUGCACGAAA